AGCAAUAUUUAGAAAUUUCCAUUAGGUGGCGGUGCUGUCCUAGGCUAAACAGAUCACAGUCACGUGAAUUCUGCAACCUGCCAAAUUCUGUGGUCUCUGCUGGCGCCUGUCCUCCACUAUAGCCAUCUGCCCUUUGCCUCCCUGUUUACUUCUCUGGAUGCCCUUUCCCUGAGCUCACACACCCCUUGCUCUAGGAGGCAGUAGCAAGAGAUUUGGAUGCAGUAGUUCUCUCUCCGGGGCACUAACCACUCAUUGCUUCUCUCCAGAGAGCUAAACAAAAGGGCGUGAUCCACAUCCGAGUUGUGGUGAAAGGCCUGGGGCCAGGACGCUUGUCUGCCAUGCACGGACUGAUCAUGGGCGGCCUGGAAGUGAUCUCAAUCACAGACAACACCCCAAUCCCACACAAUGGAUGUCGUCCCAGGAAGGCUCGGAAGCUGUGAUGGGAAGGAAGCCUGCACUUGGUCCUGACCUCAAGCCUCAGCUCCAGUGGGACCUUGUAAAAUGCUCCCUGUCAGAGCUCUCCAGAAUAUGCUUGUUGGAGAUCCUUCAGGCAGUAAGGGAGAGUUUUGCCUCCUUACACAGUGGCCUUUGCUUGCACCUCCAGCUGGAGAUGGGUGUGCCCCAGAAGUAAGCUUUGCAUCUCACAAGAGGGGAGCUACAGGGGCAGCCGUGGCCUAGGCCCAAACUCUGCUCUGAGAAAAUAAAUAUCUGUACCAUCUGUCAUAA
rnacentral:sRNA from 1 species